rnacentral:rRNA from 1 species
AUUGAACGCUGGCGGCAUGCCUUACACAUGCAAGUCGAGCGGUAACAGGUCUUCGGAUGCUGACGAGUGGCGAACGGAUGAGUAAUACAUCGGAACGUGCCCGAUCGUGGGGGAUAACGAGGCGAAAGCUUUGCUAAUACCGCAUACGAUCUACGGAUGAAAGCAGGGGACCGCAAGGCCUUGCGCGAACGGAGCGGCCGAUGGCAGAUUAGGUAGUUGGUGGGAUAAAAGCUUACCAAGCCGACGAUCUGUAGCUGGUCUGAGAGGACGACCAGCCACACUGGGACUGAGACACGGCCCAGACUCCUACGGGAGGCAGCAGUGGGGAAUUUUGGACAAUGGGCGAAAGCCUGAUCCAGCCAUGCCGCGUGCAGGAUGAAGGCCUUCGGGUUGUAAACUGCUUUUGUACGGAACGAAAAGGCUCUGGUUAAUACCUGGGGUCCAUGACGGUACCGUAAGAAUAAGCACCGGCUAACUACGUGCCAGCAGCCGCCGUAACAC